GACGAGAGGCGGAGUCACCCUGGACAGGUCACCAGUCUGUCGCAGUCUUUCAAAACACAAAAAAUAAUUUUUAUUAAGUAAUAAAAACCACCAUAACAUCAACAACAGAGAAACAAACAUCACAUUUUGAUGAGCGCCAUCACUAAAUCAUUGAUACUCAUCAAAUAUCUCGGUCAGUGUUUCAUUGAUUAUGUUUCAAAAUCAGCUCUUAUCAGGYGGGUUUUAGUCUAGAUUAAAUGAACUCAGUGUUUCGGCUGUUUUGCAGUUUUCUGGAAGUUUGUUCCAGGUCUGUGCUUCUCCACGUUUGGUUCUGGUUCUGCAGACCUGAGCGGUCCGGAGUGUUGAUACGAUGAUACGACAACAGCAGAUGAUAAACCUCAGUGACCUCUUGGCUCCACACUGCCACCUGCUGGAUGAUCGUCUCGGGGCGACUUCCUGCUGUGAUGUCAGAGUAUUUGGACCUGAACUGAACUGAGCUGGAACUGAACUGAAUCACUGAAUCGUUCAGUUUGGAGUUGUGCUCUAGAUCAGCACCUUUCUUCACUCCAACAUCUGGAUCUAAAAGUGGAAAAUUUGAUUUGAUUUCUUCCAUCAAGAUGAAAUUCUGUUGCAGUUUGACAGCAGAAAUCUCCUUCAUGAAGUCCAGAUGUUUUCUCAAGUUUCUGCUUCCUCUUUUAAUGGCUGACUGCCAAUCAUUUAUUCAAUAUUCAAUAUUGCCAAUGGUUGUAUCAUUUUCUGUGAUUUGAAUAUUUAUUUUUUAACUGGCAUCCUUAACAGAAAUGUAUUAUUUUGUCUUGUUUUGUUUAUGAGCAAGUUAAUGUCUUUGUUUAAUUCCUAUUAAAUCUGAAGUUUGUUCCUG